rnacentral:rRNA from 1 species
GGCAGCAGUGAGGAAUAUUGGUCAAUGGAGGCAACUCUGAACCAGCCAAGCCGCGUGAAGGAAGACUGUCCUAUGGAUUGUAAACUUCUUUUGUGGCAGAAUAAACUACCGUACUUGUACGGUAUUGCAUGUAUGCCAUGAAUAAGCAUCGGCUAACUCCGUGCCAGCAGCCGCGGUAAUACGGAGGAUGCAGGCGUUAUCCGGAUUUAUUAGGUUUAAAGGGUGUUCAGGCUGCCUGGUAAGUCAGGGGUGAAAGUCGGUUGCUCAACGAUCGAAUUGCCUUUGAAACUGUCAGGCUCGAGUAUGGAUGCGGUAGGCGGAAUGUGUAGUGUAGCGGUGAAAUGCAUAGAUAUUACACAGAACACCGAUUGCGAAGGCAGCUUACCAAACCAGCACUGACGCUGAAGCACGAAAGCGUGGGGAGCGAACAGGAUUAGAUACCCUGGUAGUCCACGCCGUAAACUUUGCUCACUCGCUGUUGGCGAUAGACAGUCAGCGGCCAAGGGAAACCGAUAAGUGAGCCACCUGGGGAGUACGGCCGCAAGGUUGAAACUCAAAGGAAUUGACGGGGGCCCGCACAAGCGGUGGAACAUGUGGUUUAAUUCGAUGAUACGCGAGGAACCUUACCUGGGCUUAAAUGUGAAGUGCAUUGAUUGGAAACAAUCAUUUCCUUCGGGACCCUUUACAAGGUGCUGCAUGGUUGUCGUCAGCUCGUGCCGUGAGGUGUCGGGUUAAGUCCCAUAACGAGCGCAACCCCUAUUGUUAGUUACCAGCGCGUGAUGGCGGGGACUCUAGCGAAACUGCCGGUGUAAACCGCGAGGAAGGUGGGGAUGACGUCAAAUCAGCACGGCCCUUAUGUCCAGGGCUACACACGUGUUACAAUGGCCGGUACAGCGGGCAGCUAGGCAGCGAUGUCAUGCUAAUCCCGAAAGCCGGUCCCAGUUCGGAUUGGAGUCUGCAACCCGACUCCAUGAAGGUGGAAUCGCUAGUAAUCGCGCAUCAGCCAUGGCGCGGUGAAUACGUUCCCGGGCCUUGUACACACCGCCCGUCGAGCCAUGGAAGUCUGGGGUGCCUGAA